GUACUUGCUUUGGCAGCACAUAUACUUAAAUGGGAAUGAUAUAUAGAAGAUUAACAUGGCUCCUGCACAAGGAUGACGUGUAAAUUCAUGAAGCAUUCCAUAUUUUU
ensembl:snRNA U6 U6 spliceosomal RNA